rnacentral:rRNA from 1 species
CCUACGGGGGGCUGCAGUGGGGAAUAUUGGACAAUGGGGGCAACCCUGAUCCAGCCAUGCCGCGUGUGUGAAGAAGGCCCUCGGGUUGUAAAGCACUUUCAGUGAGGAAGAACGCCUGGUGGUUAAUACCCAUCAGGAAAGACAUCACUCACAGAAGAAGCACCGGCUAACUCCGUGCCAGCAGCCGCGGUAAUACGGAGGGUGCGAGCGUUAAUCGGAAUUACUGGGCGUAAAGCGCGCGUAGGUGGCUUGAUAAGCCGGUUGUGAAAGCCCCGGGCUCAACCUGGGAACGGCAUCCGGAACUGUCAAGCUAGAGUGCAGGAGAGGAAUGUAGAAUUCCCGGUGUAGCGGUGAAAUGCGUAGAGAUCGGGAGGAAUACCAGUGGCGAAGGCGGCCUUCUGGACUGACACUGACACUGAGGUGCGAAAGCGUGGGUAGCAAACAGGAUUAGAUACCCCGGUAGUC